rnacentral:sRNA from 1 species
GGCGAGUACAGGUACCGCUGCGGCACUUGUGAGAAGACCUUCCGCAUCGAGAGCGCGCUGGAGUUCCACAACUGCAGGACAGAUGACAAGACGUUCCAAUGUGAGAUGUGUUUCAGAUUCUUCUCCACCAACAGCAACCUCUCCAAGCACAAGAAGAAGCACGGCGACAAGAAGUUUGCCUGUGAGGUCUGCAGCAAGAUGUUCUACCGCAAGGACGUCAUGCUGGACCACCAGCGCCGGCACCUGGAAGGAGUGCGGCGAGUGAAGCGAGAGGAUCUGGAGGCCGGCGGGGAGAACCUGGUCCGCUACAAGAAGGAGCCUUCCGGGUGCCCGGUGUGUGGCAAGGACAUCGCGUUGAUGGAUGACCACCAGAGGGAAGAGUUUAUCGGCAAGAUAGGGAUCUCCUCGGAAGAAAACGACGACAAUUCUGACGAGAGCGCAGACUCGGAGCCUCACAAGUACAGCUGCAAGCGGUGCCAGCUCACCUUCGGCCGGGGGAAGGAGUACCUGAAGCACAUCA